AGCGAACGCUGGCGGCAGGCCUAACACAUGCCAGUCGAACGAACCUUUCGGGGUUAGUGGCGGACGGGUGAGUAACACGUGGGAACGUUCCUUUAGGUUCGGAAUAACUCAGGGAAACUGGUGCUAAUACCGAAUGUGCCCUUCUGGGGAAAGAUUUAUCGCCUUUAGAGCGGCCGGCGUCUGAUUAGCUAUUUAUUUGAGGUAAUGGAUCACCAAGGCGACGAUCAGUAGCUGGUCUGAGAGGCUGAUCAGCCACAUUGGGACUGAGACACGGCCCAAACUCCUACGGGAGGCAGCAGUGGGGAAUCUUGCGCAAUGGGCGAAAGCCUGAAGCAGCCAUGCCGCGUGAAUGAUGAAGGUCUUAGGAUUGUAAAAUUCUUUCACCGGGGACGAUAAUGACGGUACCCGGAGAAGAAGCCACGGCUAACUUCGUG
rnacentral:rRNA from 1 species